CGUAACCAAAGAUAACACCUGGGUUUAAAGUAGGGUUAUCAAUGAUUCUUACAUCACCACCACCUGGUGCCCAUGUAUCGUAAAGACCGCCAACAUAUAAAGCUUUAAUAACUAGUAAUAGUGCUCCAAAUCCUAGGAUAACUAAGUGAAUACCAAGAAUUGUAGUAAUCUUGUUCUUAUCUCUCCA
rnacentral:antisense_RNA from 10 species